AACGAACGCUGGCGGCGUGCUUAACACAUGCAAGUCGAACGAGAAAGCCCUUCGGGGUGAGUAGAGUGGCGCACGGGUGAGUAAUGCAUAGGAACGUGCCUUAGGGUGGGGAAUAACCACGGGAAACCGUGGCUAAUACCGCAUAACCUCGUAAGAGCAAAGGUGGCCUCUGAUUCAAGCUACCGCCUGAAGAGCGGCCUAUGUCCCAUUAGCUUGUUGGUAGGGUAAUGGCCUACCAAGGCUACGAUGGGUAGCUGGUCUGAGAGGACGAUCAGCCACACUGGAACUGAGACACGGUCCAG
rnacentral:rRNA from 1 species